rnacentral:rRNA from 1 species
GACGUAGGGCGCGAGCGUUGUCCGGAUUUAUUGGGCGUAAAGAGCUCGUAGGCGGCUUGUCGCGUCGACUGUGAAAUCCCGCGGCUCAACCGCGGGUCUGCAGUCGAUACGGGCAGGCUAGAGUUCGGUAGGGGAGACUGGAAUUCCCGGUGUAGCGGUGAAAUGCGUAGAUAUCUGGAGGAAUACCGGUGGCGAAGGCGGCAUCCUGGACCGGCAUUGACGCUGAGGAGCGAAAGCUAGGGGAGCAAACGGG